rnacentral:RNase_P_RNA from 1 species
GGGUCGGACAGUCGCGGGCGCAGCGCCGAAAGGCCGCGCAUGAGGAAAGUCCGGGCUCCGCAGGGCAAGGAUAACGGGUAACGCCCGCCCAGAGCGAUCUGAGGAAAAGUGCAACAGAAAUAAACCGCCGGAGGCCCAGAAAUGGGGCCCCCGCAAAACGAAUGUUUUGUGGGGAGAGGAGGCGCAACGGAAUGACCGAGACCUGCCGCUUGCGGCGGGGCGAGGGAUAUGAAGUUUGCGCCGACGAGGCAAGGGUGGAAAGGUGCGGUAAGAGCGCACCCAAUGGCGUGUGAAAGCGUCCAUUGCUGUAAACUCUAUCCGGAGCAACACCGCAGAGGAAGCAAGGCUUGCCCGGCUGCUUCCGAGAAGGUGGCUGGAGCGCACCGGCAACGGUGCGCCUAGAUAGAUGACUGUCGAUUACAGAACCCGGCUUACAGACCCGAUC